CAUUCAUAUGUGCCCAGUAGGGGUUGAUAAACAAGUCUUAGAUGUUCUGUCUGGACUAAGUGUGCUCUAGGCUAAAGUGAAUGUGAUUCAGCUCAUGACUGUGGAAGCAAAGCUCAUGAGAGUUAAAAAUGGCUAGACAGUGUACCAGAGUGGAGUGAUCAGGCGUACAUGCAGAGAGAACUGGGAAAAGCUGGAAGGGGACCAGGAGCUAAAGUCUGGGAAGGAGCAGAAAGGGGUCAGGAGAUAGAGGUAAAAGCAGCCACAAAUUUAAGAUGACAAAGACUGCAUAAUAUCUUAGAAUUCAUCAAGAAAACCCACACAUGAUCUGACAAAAUUCUGUGGCCCACUGUGUCUCAUUCUCUGAUGGUAACUUCUGCAUACAAAGACUAAUGAGCUGUUACUAUGCUGCCAAUUAACUCAUCAGCUUAUGUGGAAAUCUUGACACUGCAUUCAGAGAUACUGGACUCUGACCUAGUAGAGUGUCUAAGUGGUAACCAGCCUGAGAUUUUGUACUGGGGGAUAAAACAAACCAACCAACCCAGAAAGAGAUUAUUAAAGAUUGUAUCACAAACCUCCCAAGAAGACAGCAGAAUAAAAGUUGCACCAGCAGCCUGAUCCCAAGUAUUUCCCAACGUUUGACUACCUGACUUUGCAACUUCACUGUUCUUUGCUUUUUCUCUUGUGGCAUGUGAAACGCUUUAGCAGUCACUUGUUGAGAAACACUCAUCAAAACCUAGUGCUUCCAUUAAUAUGCAGUAAACAUUACACAUGAUAUGAAGAUUACCUUGUUGGACAGAAGAUAAGAUGCACAGUCUACUUUGCUGUUCCCAUAAUUUUAAGUGUUUGGCAGAGGUGUCAUUCAUUGCAAUCAAACUAAGGACUUCUCAUCUCCAUUUGAUAUACUAAUCUAUAAAAUGCCUCUUCAAAUGGCCAGCCCAUCUCUAAAAUAAGAAACUCAUAAUACCUAGGAAAAAACCCCUGCAACAGACAUUUCUCCUCUGUAGAAAUUAUUUUAAAUGUGUCAUCUAAAGCCUCAGAGAUUUAUUGGCUGAGAAAUAUGCUGAGAGUUGGCAGGAACAAUAAAUUUAGUGCCAGAUUCAUGACACUAACCCCAUCGUAGUUUCCCCUCAUAAAUACUGGAGAAAAGGAUUUCUCUCACAUGUCCUCUGGUACAUUCGUCAAAAGUACCUUUUGGAAUGUGGCUUAAUGAAUUAUUACAUCCCGACAUGGACAACAGGACAUAUUUAUUUAAGGAGCUUUGUAACUUCAUAUCUGUGUCACCUGAAUAACAGGGAUAGAAGCUGAGGAGCAAAAGAGAUAAUGUGGCUAGCAUGAAGAUUCUUGAGACUGAGGCUGGUUUGUACCACUGGGUGCUACUAGUGCUCAAAGGCACUUGCGGAGAUCUCCAGCCUAUACUCCCUGCUCAUGACACGUCCUUCAUAUCCUGCUUCUCAAGAAUCACAACCUCAUUUCUUUGGAAUUCCUUCCCCAAAACUCCAUCCCUCCCAGACACCCAGGACAGCUGAUUAGGUCUACCACAUCUCUAAUGAGUGUGGGUUAGAGUAAGAAUGUAAAGAGCCUGGAAUUAAAGACGUAUAUAGGAUGAGAAGAAAAGGUCAUGAGUAUGAUGUGGAGGAGGAAAGGAAGUUAGUGCGCUUAGUAACAAUUAAGAUUAUAACUUGUAAUUAACGUUACCUUGCCUGGCGUUUCAGUGAUCCCUUUGUUGUAUAAUGUAUCCCUUUCUCCACAGUCUGACUUUGUUUUCCUCAACACUGCCCUCUUCAAAGAAGCACGGUUUUCUUCUUCUGAGUUUGGAAAGUUAUAUGUUUAUAAAUAAUAAAUAGAAUAAUAAUAAAUCAGGGCUACUGCA